rnacentral:rRNA from 1 species
UACGUAGGGUGCGAGCGUUAAUCGGAAUUACUGGGCGUAAAGUGUGCGCAGGCGGCCGAGCAAGUCGAGUGUGAAAGCCCCGAGCUUAACUUGGGAACUGCGCUCGAAACUACUUGGCUAGAGUGUGGCAGAGGGAGGUGGAAUUCCACGUGUAGCGGUGAAAUGCGUAGAGAUGUGGAGGAACACCGAUGGCGAAGGCAGCCUCCUGGGCCAACACUGACGCUCAUGCACGAAAGCGUGGGGAGCAGACAGG